rnacentral:lncRNA from 1 species
CAUUUUAUAGCAAUUGCAUUACUUAUCCCUUUAGUAUUGUUUCUGUGAUUCUUUAAUGAUAUUCUCUUUGAAUAAGAAUAAAAUAAUAUUUCAAAAUCUAUCUAAUAUUAUCUUGAAUAUCAUUGCUUACAUGGUACAAAAUAUGAUACAAAUUUGAAAUGAGUACAAAUUACAGAAUAGAAAUAGGGAGAGAGUUAAAUAGCAGCAACUCUGAGAGAUAGUAGAUUAAGGCAUUCACAUGUCUUCCAAUGGUAGCAGACAAGAAAUAUAGGAUUCAGGACUUCUGAAUCAGGAGAUAAGAGUUUAAUAGGUCCACUUAACCCAAGAAGACUAUAAUAAAAACUUUAAUUUUAAACCAUGUCUUGU